rnacentral:rRNA from 1 species
GGGGGGGGGGGGGGGGGGGGGGGGGGGGGGGGGUCGGGGGGGAGGGGGCUGGGGGCGGGGGGCGCGGGGGGCGCGCGGGUGGUUGGGAGGUGGGGGGGCGGGCCUGCACUUCGGUGUAGGCCUGUGACACGGGGUCUUGUGCCGGAUGGGCUCCGGUCUUAGUGUGCUGUGUGGAACGGUUUGUCGGUGUGGGAUGAGGCCGCGGCCUAUGAGCUUGUUCGUGGGGUCAUGGCCUACCAAGGCGGUGACGGGUGGCCGGCCUGAGAGGGUGGACGGCCACAUUGGGACUGAGAUACGGCCCAGACUCCUACGGGAGGCAGCAGUGGGGAAUAUUGCACAAUGGGCGCAAGCCUGAUGCAGCGACGCCGCGUGGGGGAUGACGGCCUUCGGGUUGUAAACUCCUUUCGCUAGGGACGAAGCUUUUUGUGACGGUACCUAGAGAAGAAGCACCGGCUAACUACGUG